rnacentral:rRNA from 1 species
UACGUAGGGACCAAGCGUUGUUCGGAUUUACUGGGCGUAAAGGGCGCUUAGGCGGCGCGGUAAGUCACUUGUGAAAUCUCUGAGCUUAACUCAGAACGGCCAAGUGAUACUGCAGUGCUAGAGUGUGGAAGGGGCAAUCGGAAUUCUUGGUGUAGCGGUGAAAUGCGCAGAUAUCAGGAGGAACACCGAUGGCGAAGGCAGGUCUCUGGGCAUUAACUGACGCUGAGGAGCGAAAGCGUGGGGAGCAAACGGG